ensembl:lncRNA
AGUAUUUUUCCGUUUACUCCUGAUGAGAAACCAACUGCCACGAAUGAUUUAUCAUCGAAUAGAUAUGUGACAAACACCUUGAGGAUUGAUUCUAAACAACGUUUGCCAUGUUUCUGUCGAUAUUAUGGAGCUAAUUUGUAAAAAAGUUUGGCGUUGUAGUGACUGCAUUUUCGUUUUGUUUUUUUUGCCAAACGUGAUGAACAAAACGGAGCUAUUUCUCCUACACAAAUAAUAUUUUUGGAAAAAAUAAACAUUUGCUAUCUAACUGAGAGUCUCGUCAUUGAAAACAUCCGAAGUUCUUCAAAGGCCGGUGGUAGCUGGUCCCCUACAAGAAGGUGAGGUACCGGAGGUCCCUCCGCCCCCUCUGGACAUUGAGGGGUCCCCGGCGUACACAGUACGAGCUAUUCUGGACUCGAGACGCCGGGUGAGGGGCCUGCAGUACCUCAUGGACUGGGAGGGGUACGGUCCGGAGGAGAGGUGCUGGGUACUGGGGAGGGACAUUUUAGAUCCUUCACUCUAGAGGGAUUUCCACCGCCUCCACCCAGAUCGCCCUGGCCUCGCCCUUCGGGUCGCGCUCGAGGCCAGGGUCGGCGCACUGCGGGAGCCGCACGUCGGGGG